AGCCUGCUUAGUGCAAGGGGCAGGGGUAAGGUGGGCUGCCUGCCUGGAGGGAGGGUGUCUGGGUGGGAGGCUUGGAGCCAGUCCUUGGCCCGCUGGAUGGCUACAAUGACUGAACCUGGGUACUGAUCUCAUUUCAGAAUGCUCUGCAUAUAGUCUGCAGUACCUAAUGUACUUCUACAUAAUGUUUAAUUGUAAUCUGUUCUUUCCAGGUCCUAACUGUUCCAGCCUGGCCACUGGAGAACUGUUGCUGCACUACCUCAAGGUUUCUGCCCCCUGGUUGAGGUCCUAGUGUCUGCAGUGUUUGGAAAGGUGUGUGACUUUAGACAGCAUCUUAACUCUCCUUCCACAUGAAGCAUUCUGGAAUAUUGUAAAUGAUGAGUCACAGUCAGCAUCCAGUCAGGUGGCUAUCC
rnacentral:lncRNA from 8 species